rnacentral:misc_RNA from 1 species
UUUCCGUAGGUGAACCUGCGGAAGGAUCAUUAAUGAGUUGUCAUGGGGUUCGAUGCUGGCAGCCAGUUUUUGGAUGCAUGUGCUUGCCCUAACAAUCAUCUUCUUCCAAACACCUGUGCACAUUUUUGAGGGAGUCUUGAGUUGGUUGCCGCUCUUGGGUGAUUUUCUCACAUUCCCUUAAAUCAUUAUACGCUAUUAACAAUGUUGAACGUGCUCUGUGCCGCAAGGCCAUUAAUAUAAUACAACUUUUAACAACGGAUCUCUUGGCUCUU